UACGAGGGGGGCAAGCGUUGUUCGGAAUUAUUGGGCGUAAAGGGCGCGUAGGCGGUUUGGCAAGUUUGGUGUGAAAUCUUCGGGCUCAACUCGAAGUCUGCAUCGAAAACUGCCGGGCUUGAGUAUGGGAGAGGUGAGUGGAAUUCCCGGUGUAGUGGUGAAAUGCGUAGAGAUCGGGAGGAACACCAGUGGCGAAAGCGACUUCCUGGACCAAUACUGACGCUCAUGUGCGAAAGCGUGGGGAGCAAACAGG
rnacentral:rRNA from 1 species